GACGAACGCUGGCGGCGUGCUUAACACAUGCCAGUCGAACGGAAAGGCCCUGCUUUUGUGGGGUGCUCGAGUGGCGAACGGGUGAGUAACACGUGAGUAACCUGCCCUUGACUUUGGGAUAACUUCAGGAAACUGGGGCUAAUACCGGAUAGGAGCUCCUGCUGCAUGGUGGGGGUUGGAAAGUUUCGGCGGUUGGGGAUGGACUCGCGGCUUAUCAGCUUGUUGGUGGGGUAGUGGCUUACCAAGGCUUUGACGCGUAGCCGGCCUGAGAGGGUGACCGGCCACAUUGGGACUGAGAUACGGCCCAGACUCCUACGGGAGGCAGCAGUGGGGAAUAGUGCACAAUGGGCGGAAGCCUGAUGCAGCAACGCCGCGUGCGGGAUGACGGCCUUCGGGUUGUAAACCGCUUUCGCCUGUGACGAAGCGUGAGUGACGGUAAUGGGUAAAGAAGCACCGGCUAACUACGUG
rnacentral:rRNA from 1 species